GACGGAGGUCCCAAGCGUUGUUCGGAAUCACUGGGCUUAAAGCGCGUGUAGGCGGAGCGGUGAGUACCUUGUGAAAGCCCCGAUCUCAACUCGGGAACUGCUGGGUAUACUAUCGCUCUUGAGGCAGGUAGGGGUCACUGGAACCUUAGGUGGAGCGGUGAAAUGCGUAGAUAUCUAAGGGAACGCCUGUGGCGAAAGCGGGUGACUGGGCCUGUCCUGACGCUGAGACGCGAAAGCGUAGGGAG
rnacentral:rRNA from 1 species